ensembl:lncRNA
GUGUCGCUUUGCACAAAUCUGUUGGCAUUGGUGCACGCAAAGUGGCUAGUUUACGACUUAACAAACAAUAGUUUACACAAGUUGAACCUGUGGUUUAUUUUUCAGCAAUGUCCACGAGGCGGCGCUUGGCGGACAGGGAGCAGAGGCGCGUCACUGAAGCGUACGAGUCAAACUCAUGAGUCAUGGCCGAAAGUGCGCGAGUUAAGCUUAGUGACGAUGUCUGCUUUGCUGGCUGAAGAUGUCUGCUCCCGGCUUAGGGAAGCCACACAGGUACAUAAUGAAGCAGUUAAAUCAAUGGCGAUUGUUCGAUGGCGUUAGUGUGGCCAGAAGCGAAUACAUAUUUUUAAACGAGACGAGGCACAAUCUCUAAACCAAAGAGAUUCGCUGCUGAAGUGUCCAACUGAUGUGGAGAACAAGCCUCCAAGGACGUUCAUUCGCAGAGACGGACGAACCCCCGCUCGCUGGUUCUAGCAGUGAAGAGGGCGAACCGGAUGAGUCCGAGCCGUGCACUUCCACCGAUGAUGACAGCUCCCUGGGUGGACAAGAGCAGGUGGUCGCACCAGGCUUAGCCACACCUCCAAACAAUGCUGGCAGAGACCCUACUAUCUGAGACCCGGACUCAGAUUCGUCGCGAUAUGAAUGGAUCUUUACGGGAUAUGUUAGUGCAGGCUGGGCCAUAUCAGGAUAAGGUAGGGGAGUUGAGGGCCAACGAAAAUGUUCGGUGGCCAACUACAAUAUGAGGAUGGCGAACGGAGAGAGAGUGGAGAUACCAUGGCUCGUUAAUUCCAAGCAAAAUGAUGCGGCCUUCUAUUUUUGCUGUUUUUCACGAGGGCAAAUCUGCGCUGGUCUUGGAUGGAACCAGGGACUGGGAAUAAUCUGUGCCACCUCCUCAGCUCGCAUGAGAAGUCGCAUGACCGCCUAGAUAGUAUCCAGAGGUGGAAGGAGCUGGAGAUCAGGCUGGUGUCCAAGGAAGCUAUCGAUGCCCAAGCCCAACGGGCUAUUGACAGAGAGACUCUCCAUUGGCAGACCAUGGACAGCUACCGAGAGAAAACAUCGCUGACUGCAAUGCAGCAUCACAGCAAAGGGAAGAGACCACUCUAGGCGGGCCACGAAUUGAAGAAAUGCUGAAAUGUAUGUUGGACAAUCAAAUUCGGUGAAGUCUGAGCCAUGAACUAGAACAGCUUAACUGCGUAUAUGGUGAAGAGCCUGCAGACUCCAUAUGGUGAAGAGACUCCAUAUGGUGAAGAGCCUGGUUCAGAACCCUGUACCUCGGCUCGUAAGUACGCAUCCUGGUGUCCAGCGUCGUGUACUGCAUCCUGGAGCCGCUGGUCGCCUCCAACUCCCUCAACGACCACUGGACCCUUAUGGAGUACGCAGCUCUGUGGGUCACCCACAUGUUCUGGUAUGUUAUCCAGCUCUCAAUACACGGGGCCCUGAAAGUUAUGUUCCCAGUGUCGUCCUCCUCUCCCUUUAUACCAAUCUGAUAUUCAUGUGUUGUGUGGCUCUGUCGGGAGAGCAUGGCGCUUGCAACUGCAAGGGUAAGGGCUCAAUUCCCACUGGGUCUACCCAUACAUAUAAAUGUAUGAUGCAUGACUUAAGUCACUUUGGAUAAAAGCGUCUGCUAAAUAACAUAUAUUUUAUUGUGUGACCAUGACAUUAGACACCAAACGGAAGUCAGACACCACACUGAUCCAUCCUGUUAAAAUGUCUUUUCAUUUCCUCUACACAAGAUGGUGGAGUAGAAACAUGGCCAUACUUCAACCAUUGAUCUAAUUCCCUCCUAAUAGCAACAUGGCCAUGCUUGAACCAUUGAUCUAUUUUCCGUGUCUUUGCCAGGACCCAUGGAGACCUGGUCAGUGGUCUGUUGUCUCUGCAGAAGGUUCUGUCAGACCCGGUCCGCCCGCUGUGUUCUCACUAUGGAGUUGUAGGGGGCUACAUGCACUUAGAGGAAAUGUAUCCACCUCCCAUCCAUCUUGUAUCCAUCUUAUCUAUGUAUGAAAAUAUAAUUUCUUUCAUUUAGAGAUCCUUGGCUUUGUUGAUCACUGUGUGUGUUGUCUGUCUUUGUAGGCUAUUGAGUGAGUCAUAUACCCUUACCUGCAAGCUGUCCUGGAUGACUACUCUGUCUCCAAUGCCCAGGUGAAAGCAGACAGACACAAGUCUAUGGAGCAAUCCUGUGGAGCACCUGCUAAAGAUUAGAGCCCUGUCUCUGUCCCUGCCAGCAGAGGGGUCGACAGCACCCAGCCACGCUUCGGGAGUGUGAUUUCCGCCGGGCUCAGCCUCUCUCCGAGGCCACGCUGGGCAUCGUCAGUCCCCUGCAGGGACCUGGGGGAGCUGGAACCCCCUGGAAUGACUGGACCACAUCCCCCUGCCCGCCAUGUACUGUGAGCAGGUGGUUAAGAGUGUUGGGCUAGUAACCAAAAGGUUGUUGGUUCGAAUCACCGAGCCGACGAGGUGAAAUUUUCUGUCUGUGCCUUUGAGCAAGACACUCAAGUCUAAUUCCACCUGUAAAGCACAGCUGUCGCUAUUUGAUAUUUGAUAUUAUUUAUAAAUAUUGGAUUUAGUUGCAUAUAUUAUUAAGUUGCAUACAAUAACUGUACCAUUUACAAUGCACUUCUCUGUGCAAACAGGUAAUAACUUUCUAUCAUCUUACACAUUGUCCUUGGGAUUGGUGGACAGUCAAACUGAAAGGAAGCAACUUCUAUUGCUUAGGGAUGGAUCGACAUUUACAUAAUGGGUACCUGAUGGAAAAUGUGGGAGGUUCAUGCUUUUAAUAUUUCAGCCAAGGGGUUUCAAUUUUUUUUUAAAUCUAGUCCAGGGGAGGGUCAUGUCAUUUAUGAAAUGUCAAUAUUUUUCAGUUGCUUAUUAGGCUAUAUAUACACAUCUGCAUUGUUUGCUGUUUGGGGUUUUGGUCUGGGUUUCUGAACAGCACUUUGUGACAUCUGCUGAUGUAAAAAAGGCUUUAUAAAUACAUUUGAUUGUGUUGGAGUUUAUUUCGUCCUAUUUAAGAAAUAACAGGUAGCCUGCUAUAUCCAUAGAUUUGUCAAUCAAUUCCUCCACCCACAAUGCACUCUUUAAAUAUCCUAUCUCCGUGUCAGUGAAGUGACGGGCUUUCCGAGUCUUUUAGGUGAGCCUACUCAUUUGGCUCCACACCGCU